rnacentral:rRNA from 1 species
UACGUAGGGGGCUAGCGUUGUCCGGAUUUAUUGGGCGUAAAGAGCGUGUAGGCGGCCUGGUAGGUCUGCUGUGAAAACUCGAGGCUCAACCUCGAGAUGUCGGCGGAAACCAUCUGGCUAGAGUCCGGAAGAGGAGAGUGGAAUUCCUGGUGUAGCGGUGAAAUGCGCAGAUAUCAGGAAGAACACCUAUGGCGAAGGCAGCUCUCUGGGCCGUAACUGACGCUGAGGAGCGAAAGCAUGGGGAGCGAACAGG